rnacentral:rRNA from 1 species
AGAGUUUGAUCAUGGCUCAGAUUGAACGCUGGCGGCAGGCCUAACACAUGCAAGUCGAACGGUAACAGGAAACAGCUUGCUGUUUCGCUGACGAGUGGCGGACGGGUGAGUAAUGUCUGGGAAACUGCCUGAUGGGGGGGGAUAACUACUGGAAACGGUAGCUAAUACCGCAUAACGUCGCAAGACCAAAGAGGGGGACCUUCGGGCCUCUUGCCAUCGGAUGUGCCCAGAUGGGAUUAGCUUGUUGGUGGGGUAACGGCUCACCAAGGCGACGAUCCCUAGCUGGUCUGAGAGGAUGACCAGCCACACUGGAACUGAGACACGGUCCAGACUCCUACGGGAGGCAGCAGUGGGGAAUAUUGCACAAUGGGCGCAAGCCUGAUGCAGCCAUGCCGCGUGUAUGAAGAAGGCCUUCGGGUUGUAAAGUACUUUCAGCGGGGAGGAAGGGAGUAAAGUUAAUACCUUUGCUCAUUGACGUUACCCGCAGAAGAAGCACCGGCUAACUCCGUGCCAGCAGCCGCGGUAAUACGGAGGGUGCAAGCGUUAAUCGGAAUUACUGGGCGUAAAGCGCACGCAGGCGGUUUGUUAAGUCAGAUGUGAAAUCCCCGGGCUCAACCUGGGAACUGCAUCUGAUACUGGCAAGCUUGAGUCUCGUAGAGGGGGGUAGAAUUCCAGGUGUAGCGGUGAAAUGCGUAGAGAUCUGGAGGAAUACCGGUGGCGAAGGCGGCCCCCUGGACGAAGACUGACGCUCAGGUGCGAAAGCGUGGGGAGCAAACAGGAUUAGAUACCCUGGUAGUCCACGCCGUAAACGAUGUCGACUUGGAGGUUGUGCCCUUGAGGCGUGGCUUCCGGAGCUAACGCGUUAAGUCGACCGCCUGGGGAGUACGGCCGCAAGGUUAAAACUCAAAUGAAUUGACGGGGGCCCGCACAAGCGGUGGAGCAUGUGGUUUAAUUCGAUGCAACGCGAAGAACCUUACCUGGUCUUGACAUCCACGGAAGUUUUCAGAGAUGAGAAUGUGCCUUCGGGAACCGUGAGACAGGUGCUGCAUGGCUGUCGUCAGCUCGUGUUGUGAAAUGUUGGGUUAAGUCCCGCAACGAGCGCAACCCUUAUCCUUUGUUGCCAGCGGUCCGGCCGGGAACUCAAAGGAGACUGCCAGUGAUAAACUGGAGGAAGGUGGGGAUGACGUCAAGUCAUCAUGGCCCUUACGACCAGGGCUACACACGUGCUACAAUGGCGCAUACAAAGAGAAGCGACCUCGCGAGAGCAAGCGGACCUCAUAAAGUGCGUCGUAGUCCGGAUUGGAGUCUGCAACUCGACUCCAUGAAGUCGGAAUCGCUAGUAAUCGUGGAUCAGAAUGCCACGGUGAAUACGUUCCCGGGCCUUGUACACACCGCCCGUCACACCAUGGGAGUGGGUUGCAAAAGAAGUAGGUAGCUUAACCUUCGGGAGGGCGCUUACCACUUUGUGAUUCAUGACUGGGGUGAAGUCGUAACAAGGUAACCGUAGGGGAACCUGC